ensembl:lncRNA
CACAUCCUGUGCUCAGUCUCCAGUAUGAGCAUGCUUUAAUUUUCCUUACUUUUGUCUUAACAUCAGCUGAAUGGAGUGUUCAUUUUGGUCAUUCAGUUUUGUUUUAUUAUUAUUAUUUUUAUUUAACUAAUAUUAAUUUAUUAAUAGCCUUCUCUGACCUUUUAUAAGAAUCUUUUCUACAUUCAACAUGGCACAGAGACAGAAGAGAGAUGGAACAUUUUCAUAUGCAGCAAAACAAUCCACAGACUCCAUUACAAGGUUUAGAUUCAUUGUGUUUGGAAGUGAUGAGGUUCUGAUAAAUGAAGCUUGUGACACUAUUCUUAGAUCAGCAGAUAGAAUGGAUAGCACUAAAUAUGGGACAUGUGAGUUUAGAGAGGCGUGUGUAAGCGGACGACAUGUCUCUGUAGUAAAAACUCCUGCUUAUGGGCUGGAACACUUGAAAACUUACCUGACCUUCAGAAACAGAGUCAGAUCUAUGAAAAUAGACAUGGAGUUUUGUUACUCACUGGUCUUUCCUGGGCCUCAUGCUUUUUUUUUAGUGCUUGGAGAUGUGCGUAACUCUGGUAAAGAGCAUUACAUUUUACGAGCUCUCAGUGAAGUGUUUGGCCAGGAGGCAUUAGACUACAGUAUGGUCUUAUUUAUGCAUGAAUACAAGGACAGUGAUAUAGGCAGCAACCGAUGUGUGAAAAAGUGCAGGAAAAGGUUCCACAUUUUAAAGAACAAUGAGGAAAAUGUUCUAAAGCUAUUCCAUGAUGCUACUGAGACAAUGAUAAAGCAGAGAAAGGGGAGCUUCUUUACGAAGGAUUUUGACUUGCUAGACAAAGCUGAAGCUUAUUUUAAGACAGAGUUUGAUGCUAAAUAUGAGGAGCGAGAGAGUAUACUGAGAGGAAAUUUGGCAGAAAUGAAAACAACAGAGGAAAAUCUAAGAACAAAAGUUACAGAAAUGGAAAGAAAGAAUUCUGAAAACAUGAGAGAAUUACAAGAUCUGCAUAAAGAACUGGAUGCUCAUAAAGCCAGAAUAAAUCAGUUAAACAAGGAAUUAGAUGAUUCCCAAAGCAGAGAGAAUCAUUUAAGUCAACAGAUGGAUGCUCUCAAAAAGAAAAAAUAUGAACUGAAGGAGGAGCUGUAUGCCCUCAGGUAUUACAAGAGACAGUUAGAUGUAGAACUGACUGCUUUCAACGAGAGAGAGAGAGAAAAAUUCCUGCCCACAAAAAUACAGUUAGAGCAUAACAGAUUACAGGAGCAAAGAGAAGCAGGCCUACAGGCUCCUGUGCAAGAAGAGCAUGACAGACAAAAAACUUUAGAUAAAAGAGAGGUGGAGCUAGAUGAGAGAGAGAAAAAACUGCUGCAGACCACUGGAUCACAGCAUGUUGAUCACAUCUCUACAGCUGUUACUCCCUCUUGUGUCAUAGUGUCUGAAGACAAACCCAAAUCUCAAGAAGACACUGGAUCACUUGAGUCUGAAGGAUUGAAACUUGUGAGACAAGACAGCAAGAAAUUAGAUCCACCUAAUAUGUCUGAAAACAAAGUCAAACCUCAGAGUGAAAGAGAAUGUGAGAUGGAAAGUAGAAUAACAGAUUCACAAACCAGCAGAUUACUUAAAGGUGAAAGACUGAAACCUGUGAGACGGAACAGCAUUCGAGAUCGACCCAGCAUGUCUGAAGACACACUCAAACCUCAAGAAAACACUGGAUACCUUGAGUUUGAAGGACUGGAAAUUAAUUGUGUGACAAAACAGCAAGGAAAUACUGUAGAUUCACUUAAUGGUAAGAAUUCUUUUAUGGAAAUGUAGAAAAUUACAUAAUAUGUUUUUAGGCCUGUUACUCAUUUCACAGAGGUGUUGGAGGGAGGGGGAGGGGGUUGUUCAUUUACAUAGGAAUGCUCAAUGUAAAAUUUAUAAAAUGCUGAUCCAAAACUAAAUCACUUUUGUUCUUUACAAGUGUUCCCCCAUUGUUCUUUACACAGCAUGAUCUACUCUGCUUGCAAAUUGUUAAAUUCUUAUGCUUGACUCUUUCCUAGCUAGACAAACAAUUUCUGUCAUUUCUGGCAAUCCACUUUUUCACUGGUGGGGCACUGACAUGCAUUUGCUGGAAUAGUACAGAAUCUCUGGAUUUUUAUUUAUUUACUUCUGCUCUAUGCCGAUAAAACUGUAGUUAUGCAAAAGUAUGUGAUUUUUUUUCUUUCUCUCUUUCUCUUUCCAUUCAGUUUUCUGGAGUGAAGAGUGCCAGUAUCCCUCAGAACUGAGUUCUGAGUUCUAGCAUGUAAUGGGAAAUGCUUCAUGUACUCCCACAUGAUAGCAGUGCAUGUGUUUCAUGAACUGUAAGACAUAUAUUUGUACAUCGCAUAUUUGUACUUUAGUAACUAUAUUAGUAAGCAAAAGCUAAUGUCUGUAACUGGUUUUGAUAUGGUUUUUGAUGUUUUCUCAGAAUAUUUUAUGUGUAUAAGUUCUGUUAAAUCUGGCAUUAACAGGUAUGUUGAUCACAGUUACAAUGAGCAUCUUUUUUUCAUGAAAAAUGUGGUUUAGAGGAGAUUGAACACAAAAUGAAAUUUUAAAAUCCUUGGUGAUUAAUCAUAUCAUCUGAUCACAUGCCUGUGUAACUGUUUUCAUUAUUGUGAAAUAGGAAACCUUGUCUAAAGUACUCCCUUGAAGGUUUUAAACUUUGAACUAAACUGAGCAUUAAUGUGAUCUUUUUUAUAAAGCCUGUAAAGUUUUGUAGGAUUGUACUAUUAACAUGCUAUAUGUAAAUAAAUAAUGGCAUAGGCUUAUUAUUUAACA